rnacentral:rRNA from 1 species
UACGGAGGGUGCAAGCGUUGUUCGGAAUUACUGGGCGUAAAGCGCGUGUAGGCGGUUCUCUAAGUCUGAUGUGAAAGCCCGGGGCUCACCCCCGGAAGUGCAUCGGAUACUGGAGAACUCGAGUACCGGAGAGGAGGGUGGAAUUCCUGGUGUAGCGGUGAAAUGCGUAGAUAUCAGGAGGAACACCGGUGGCGAAGGCGGCCCUCUGGACGGAUACUGACGCUGAGACGCGAAAGCGUGGGGAGCAAACAGG